UAAGGUACCCCCUCCGCGUUUGGGCCUCGUCCUAAGCAAAAGAAUUCUUUGAGGACGCCAAAACGUGGGAAGAAGAUGUACAACUACCAUUGAGCUAUGUGGAUUUGUUGAAUGCACCUGAUUCGCCCAUGGAUUGAGAGAGUGCAGAAGAAAUAUCCAUAGCUGCUUCAUCAAUGGCAAGCCCUCCUCUGUGCACUGGAGAAGCAUCUCAAGAUCCGGUAAUAGCGACAGUUUCUCCAUCGAUGUUCGGCCAUAACGUGGAUCCUUUUAAGUUUGUCUUCAAGAAAACUCCUAAGACUGACAAGGAGAGGAGAGCGAAAACAUUAGGUCCGAGAACAACU